UAGAGGGUAGGCGAGAGUAAAAAUUAAAGUGAUCGUGUGACGUUGCUAUUUACUAGACUGAAGCCGAUAGGAUGCAUCUUCUACGCAUGGAUGUUAUCGCCAGUAAUGAAGACAGCGAUGAUAAUAACAGAGAAGAAGGACAGGGCUUGUGUGAUAAAGAGGAAGGCGAGGAAGACGAUGAAUCUGACGAAGACGGGGUCGGUAUGCAUGGAUAUUCCAAUGUUAACGUAUUAUCAUACAGCAGCAAAUUAAAUCGCAAGGAAAUAGUUAUAUCACUCACCAGUAGCUGAAGAACAACCAAAGCAGCAAAUACUGUAUUUCCGUACAGUGUAAGCUGUUUACAACUUUUUUAUAAUGUUAUCCUUGUUCAAUAACCAAGAAGACAGAGUAUUAAUAUUUGUUAUGCUGCACGCUGUUAUUCAUUUAUAAAAUCAAUACAAAUUUGGUUAAAUGGACAUCGAAGAUGAUUACACUUUGAAAUUAGCAAUAAAAAUAUUUUUGGAAAUGAAAUUCGAACCUCUUUAAAAAGAAAUAUGGCGUGUAAAAGAGAUAUUUCACUGUAGACGAUGAUAGUUAUUCUGUUUGCGAAUUAUCUGCAUUUCCUUUCAAUAGUCAUUCUACCCAAACAUAAAACCUUUCGUUUGCUGUUCCAAAAUUUAUGAUUUUGUUGCUUUGUUUUCCAAGCCUUUUCCGGAUGUUCUUUUAUUCUUCAGUCAAUAAUAGUAGCAGUCAAUCUGAAGCCCAGCAGUUUGUCAAUGAAAACAUGAGUGGUCAGAUAUUUUUUUCAAAAGGAAAGUAAUUUUGGAAUUAAAAUCCCAUGCUCCGUAAAAAGAGAUGUGAUUUGUGAAAAAAGACGAGCCACAUUUGAAAAGGAAAGCUGAAGUAAAAUUAACUGGCACAAAAAUGAAAGCUGAAACAACCCUGUUGUAA